UGAUGCGAUCAUACCAGCACUAAAGCAACGGAUCUCAUCAGAGCUCCGAAGUUAAGCGUGCUUGGGCGAGAGUAGUACUAGGAUGGUUGGCCUCCUGGGAAGUCCUCGUGUUGCAUUCC
rnacentral:rRNA from 1 species